rnacentral:rRNA from 1 species
UACGAAGGGUGCAAGCGUUAAUCGGAAUUACUGGGCGUAAAGGGUGCGUAGGCGGUUCGUUAAGUCUGUUGUGAAAUCCCCGGGCUCAACCUGGGAAUGGCAAUGGAUACUGGCGGGCUAGAGUGUGUCAGAGGAUGGUGGAAUUCCCGGUGUAGCGGUGAAAUGCGUAGAGAUGCGGAGGAACACCGAUGGCGAAGGCAGCCCCCUGGGCUGACACUGACGCUCAGGCACGAAAGCGUGGGGAGCAAACAGG